UCCAGACUCCUACGGGAGGCAGCAGUGAGGAAUAUUGGUCAAUGGGCGCGAGCCUGAACCAGCCAAGUCGCGUGAGGGAUGACGGCCCUACGGGUUGUAAACCUCUUUUGUCGGGGAGCAAAGAGAGUCACGUGUGGCUCAUUGAGAGUACCCGAAGAAAAAGCAUCGGCUAACUCCGUGCCAGCAGCCGCGGUAAUACGGAGGAUGCGAGCGUUAUCCGGAUUUAUUGGGUUUAAAGGGUGCGCAGGCGGGAGAUCAAGUCAGCGGUAAAAUGUCGGGGCUCAACCCCGGCCGGCCGUUGAAACUGGUUUUCUAGAGUUGGAGAGAAGUAUGCGGAAUUCGUGGUGUAGCGGUGAAAUGCAUAGAUAUCACGAAGAACUCCGAUUGCGAAGGCAGCAUACCGGCUCCAUACUGACGCUGAGGCACGAAAGCGUGGGGAUCGAACAGGAUUAGAUACCCCUGUAU
rnacentral:rRNA from 1 species